rnacentral:rRNA from 1 species
GCAGGCUUAACACAUGCAAGUCGAGCGGAGAGAGGUAGCUUGCUACUGAUCUUAGCGGCGGACGGGUGAGUAAUGCUUAGGAAUCUGCCUAUUAGUGGGGGACAACAUUUCGAAAGGAAUGCUAAUACCGCAUACGUCCUACGGGAGAAAGCAGGGGAUCUUCGGACCUUGCGCUAAUAGAUGAGCCUAAGUCGGAUUAGCUAGUUGGUGGGGUAAAGGCCUACCAAGGCGACGAUCUGUAGCGGGUCUGAGAGGAUGAUCCGCCACACUGGGACUGAGACACGGCCCAGACUCCUACGGGAGGCAGCAGUGGGGAAUAUUGGACAAUGGGCGCAAGCCUGAUCCAGCCAUGCCGCGUGUGUGAAGAAGGCCUUAUGGUUGUAAAGCACUUUAAGCGAGGAGGAGGCUACUUUAGUUAAUACCUAGAGAUAGUGGACGUUACUCGCAGAAUAAGCACCGGCUAACUCUGUGCCAGCAGCCGCGGUAAUACAGAGGGUGCAAGCGUUAAUCGGAUUUACUGGGCGUAAAGCGCGCGUAGGCGGCUAAUUAAGUCAAAUGUGAAAUCCCCGAGCUUAACUUGGGAAUUGCAUUCGAUACUGGUUAGCUAGAGUGUGGGAGAGGAUGGUAGAAUUCCAGGUGUAGCGGUGAAAUGCGUAGAGAUCUGGAGGAAUACCGAUGGCGAAGGCAGCCAUCUGGCCUAACACUGACGCUGAGGUGCGAAAGCAUGGGGAGCAAACAGGAUUAGAUACCCUGGUAGUCCAUGCCGUAAACGAUGUCUACUAGCCGUUGGGGCCUUUGAGGCUUUAGUGGCGCAGCUAACGCGAUAAGUAGACCGCCUGGGGAGUACGGUCGCAAGACUAAAACUCAAAUGAAUUGACGGGGGCCCGCACAAGCGGUGGAGCAUGUGGUUUAAUUCGAUGCAACGCGAAGAACCCUUACCUGGGCCUUGACAUAGUAAGAACUUUCCAGAGAUGGAUUGGUGCCUUCGGGAACUUACAUACAGGUGCUGCAUGGCUGUCGUCAGCCUCGUGUCGUGAGAUGU